UAAUCCUCAAAUACGACACACAUCACAGGUUCAAAAUUGGUUGCACAAAAGAACUUGGUAUUUAAGUGGAGAAGAGUAAGAAAGUGCUCAUUAUACACCUGAGUUUCGACCCAUGUAUCUUUGUCGUUCCAGAGUAACACUACGGCUACAAGACAAACACACUUAUAUCACAUAUAAAAUUUUGAAACCAACGCACUGGCAAUACUUCGCAUCUCGCUGUCUUGCAGAUUGCUUUUGUGGACACCAACAUAGUUCGAUCCAAGUNNN
rnacentral:lncRNA from 1 species